rnacentral:rRNA from 1 species
AUUGAACGCUGGCGGCAGGCCUAACACAUGCAAGUCGAGCGGAUGAAGGGAGCUUGCUCCUGGAUUCAGCGGCGGACGGGUGAGUAAUGCCUAGGAAUCUGCCUGGUAGUGGGGGAUAACGUCCGGAAACGGGCGCUAAUACCGCAUACGUCCUGAGGGAGAAAGUGGGGGAUCUUCGGACCUCACGCUAUCAGAUGAGCCUAGGUCGGAUUAGCUAGUUGGUGGGGUAAAGGCCUACCAAGGUGACGAUCCGUAACUGGUCUGAGAGGAUGAUCAGUCACACUGGAACUGAGACACGGUCCAGACUCCUACGGGAGGCAGCAGUGGGGAAUAUUGGACAAUGGGCGAAAGCCUGAUCCAGCCAUGCCGCGUGUGUGAAGAAGGUCUUCGGAUUGUAAAGCACUUUAAGUUGGGAGGAAGGGCAGUAAGUUAAUACCUUGCUGUUUUGACGUUACCAACAGAAUAAGCACCGGCUAACUCCGUG